rnacentral:rRNA from 1 species
GAUGAACGCUAGCGGCAGGCCUAAUACAUGCAAGUCGAACGAGAUUAAGAGGCUUGCUUCUUAUGAAAGUGGCGCACGGGUGCGUAACGCGUAUGCAACCUACCUUAAUCAGGGGGAUAGCCCGAAGAAAUUCGGAUUAAGACCGCAUAAAAACACAGGAUAGCAUUAUCCAAUGUUCAAAUAUUUAUAGGAUUAAGAUGGGCAUGCGUGUCAUUAGCUAGUUGGCGGGGUAACGGCCCACCAAGGCGACGAUGACUAGGGGAUCUGAGAGGAUGACCCCCCACACUGGUACUGAGAAACGGACCAGACUCCUACGGGAGGCAGCAGUAAGGAAGAUAGGUCAAGGGAGGGAACUCUGAACCAGCCAUGCCGCGUGCAGGAAGACAGCCCUCUGGGUCGUAAACUGCUGUUAGUAGGGAACAAACCUUUCUACGUGUAGGAAGCUGAAUGUACCGAAGGAAUAAGGAUCGGCUAACUCCGUG